rnacentral:rRNA from 1 species
AUUGAACGCUGGCGGCAGGCCUAACACAUGCAAGUCGAGCGGAGCGGCGGACGGGUGAGUAAUGCCUAGGAAUCUGCCUGGUAGUGGGGGAUAACGUCCGGAAACGGGCGCUAAUACCGCAUACUAUCAGAUGAGCCUAGGUCGGAUGAGCUAGUUGGUGGGUUAAAGGCCUACCAAGGCGACGAUCCGUAACUGGUCUGAGAGGAUGAUCAGUCACACUGGAACUUGGGGACGGUCCAGAGUCGUACGGGAGGCAGCAGUGGGGAAUUUUGGACAAUGGGCGAAAGCCUGAUACAGGCAUGCCGCGUGAGUGAAGGAGGUCUGCGGAUUGUAAAGCACUGUAAGUUGGGAGGCGUUACCAACAGAAUAAGCACCGGCUAACUUCGUGCCAGCAGCCGCGGUAAUAC